CGGACGAACGCUGGCGGCGUGCCUAAUACAUGCAAGUCGAACGGUCUUUCUAUGGAAGCUUGCUUCCACUGAGAAGAUAGUGGCGAACGGGUGAGUAACACGUGGGUAACCUGCCCAUAAGAGGGGGAUAACAUCCGGAAACGGGUGCUAAUACCGCAUAGUUUCUUGGUCGCAUGAUCGGGAAAGGAAAGACGGCCUUUGUGCUGUCGCUUAUGGAUGGACCCGCGGCGUAUUAGUUAGUUGGUGAGGUAACGGCUCACCAAGACGAUGAUACGUAGCCGACCUGAGAGGGUGAUCGGCCACAUUGGGACUGAGACACGGCCCAAACUCCUACGGGAGGCAGCAGUAGGGAAUCUUCCGCAAUGGACGAAAGUCUGACGGAGCAACGCCGCGUGAGUGAAGAAAGGUUUUCGGAUCGUAAAACUCUGUUGUCAGAGAAGAACAAGUUGGAGAGUAACUGCUCCAGCCUUGACGGUAUCUGACCAGAAAGCCACGGCUAACUACGUGCCAGCAGCGGC
rnacentral:rRNA from 1 species